AACCUUCCGAACGUUGACCUCGAAUCAGGUAGGACUAC
rnacentral:rRNA from 1 species